rnacentral:rRNA from 1 species
GCGUUGGGAGCUCUCCCAUAUGGUCGACCUGCAGGCGGCCGCGAAUUCACUAGUGAUUAGAGUUUGAUCAUGGGUCAGAUUGAACGCUGGCGGCAUGCCUAACACAUGCAAGUCGAACGGCAGCACAGUAAAGAUUUCGGUCUUUAUGGGGUGGCGAGUGGCGGACGGGUGAGUAACACGUAGGAAUCUGUCCUGGAGCGUGGGAUAACCCGAGGAAACUCGGGCUAAUACCACAUGAUAUCGAGAGAUCAAAAGCAGGGGACCGAAAGGCCUUGCGCUCUGGGGUGAGCCUACGUCGGAUUAGCUAGUUGGUGGGGUAAAAGCCUACCAAGGCGACGAUCCGUAGCUGGUCUGAGAGGAUGACCAGCCACACUGGGACUGAGACACGGCCCAGACUCCUACGGGAGGCAGCAGUGGGGAAUCUUGGACAAUGGGGGAAACCCUGAUCCAGCGAUGCC